rnacentral:misc_RNA from 1 species
GAUGAAAACGUAGCGAAAUGCGAUAAGUAAUGUGAAUUGCAGAAUUCAGUGAAUCAUCGAAUCUUUGAACGCACAUUGCGCCCCUUGGUAUUCCGGGGGGCAUGCCUGUUCGAGCGUCAUUAUAACCCCUCAAGCUCAGCUUGGUGUUGGGGCCUGCCAACUGGCAGCCCUUAAAAUCAGUGGCGGCGCCAUCUGGCUCUAAGCGUAGUAAUUUCUCUCGCUAUAGGGUCCCGGUGGAUGCUGGCCAACAACCCCCAAUUUUCUAUGGUUGACCUCGGAUCAGGUAGGGAUACCCGCUGAACUUAAGCAUAUCAAUAAGCGGAGGA